rnacentral:rRNA from 1 species
AGUAAUGUCUGGGAAACUGCCUGAUGGAGGGGGAUAACUACUGGAAACGGUAGCUAAUACCGCAUAACGUCGCAAGACCAAAGAGGGGGACCUUCGGGCCUCUUGCCAUCGGAUGUGCCCAGAUGGGAUUAGCUUGUUGGUGGGGUAACGGCUCACCAAGGCGACGAUCCCUAGCUGGUCUGAGAGGAUGACCAGCCACACUGGAACUGAGACACGGUCCAGACUCCUACGGGAGGCAGCAGUGGGGAAUAUUGCACAAUGGGCGCAAGCCUGAUGCAGCCAUGCCGCGUGUAUGAAGAAGGCCUUCGGGUUGUAAAGUACUUUCAGCGGGGAGGAAGGGAGUAAAGUUAAUACCUUUGCUCAUUGACGUUACCCGCAGAAGAAGCACCGGCUAACUCCGUGCCAGCAGCCGCGGUAAUACGGA